AUAGGUAACUUGGAUGAAAAGGUCUCGGAAUGGGUUUUGUAUGAGAUUCUUAUUCAGGUAGGUCGUGUAGUAGACUUACACAUACCCCGUGACAAGGAAACUAGUCGACCCAAAGGUUUUGCUUUUGCUGAGUAUGAACCAGAGGAGAUUGCCCAGUAUGUUGUUAGGCUGUUUUCUGGCCUUGUUCAGCUUCACAAUAGAACACUUAAAUUUGUGGUGCGUUUCUUUUUUCUCCCUGGUUAUCUAAUUUGUUGCAGUAUAGAUUGCAGUGUGUUGUUCUUAUGGUAUAGUGAGUUACAUUCUCUGAAUAGUUGA
rnacentral:rRNA from 1 species